rnacentral:lncRNA from 1 species
CCCCUCUCCUCUCUCUCUCUAGAUGACUCUCUGUAUCCCAUCAUCAUCAUCUUGAAUAAAUAACACCCAUCUGCCUUCUUUCUUUCAAGAACAUCUUCUUUAUAUGUGCACCACAGUUAGUGUGUGUUUUCUGGCUUUAGGGUUUCUUUCAUGGUGGUUUAGUGAAGAGUUUUCAUUAGAUUCCUUUAGGGUUUUUAGGGUUUCUUUCAUGGUGGUUUAAUAAAGAGUUUCCAGCAGAUUUCUUUGGCAUUCUGUCCACCUCCAUAUUCAUUGAUCUAUGUAUCUCACUGUUGUGUAAAUGUGUAAUUAGGGUUUAUUGGUUUGAUAAGAAAAGAGAAAUAAUCUAGUGCAAGAUUUUGUUUUCUUUUUCUUGUGUGUGUAAUCUGUGUUUAGUUAAGAGUGUGGAGGUGGGCAUACUGUCAAUGGAGCUCUGUUGGUAUCUCUUUGUAAAACCAUCUUGAAUCUUCUUUUUAUGAUCGAUCAUCUUUCCACAUGAUCUAUCACCGAAAAGUACAGUGUGUACUUGCAUAUUAUGCUUCUCACUACUGUGGAUAGUGUGUGUGUUUUUGUGUGGAUCUUGUUUUGACUUGUUGAUAGUGUUGAAAGCAUUAUGUUUUUGCAGUACUGGUGUGAUGAUUCAUCCCAAAAGCAGACGUCUGUGUAGAUGAUCAUUAUCAAAGCUUGCGGACUAUAUCUGUCGGAGAAGAGGUGGACAUCGGCAGGAGAAGAGAUAGAUCAAACCUCUGCAGUCUGCAAGAAGAAGACUGUUUGUUUUUUCAACGUAUGCAGACUUCUAAAAUAAGCUACUGGUGGUGUACGGACGGUGGUGGACGUGGGUGGGGUGAGGUGGUGCUGUUUAAUCCUUUGCAGUACUUAGAAGAUCUUAGAUAUGGUUGGAUUAAGUUUGCAACAAGAAGAACUCGUGCAGACGGUUUUUUUUAAUGAAAUGUCUUUGGAAAAACAAACAGUUUGCAGACAACAAAAUCUGCGCGGCAAAGAUAAAAGAGUCUGUGCAUGUCGUUUUUAGAAAAUCUACGCAACCUAAGAGUUUGUUUUAAUAUGAGUUGAAAUAUGUUAAUUUGUUUGAAAUAGAUUAUUGACCAAAAUGCUUAUAUAUGUUUGAAUUGAGAAUAACUUAGUGUUU